AACAUGAGUACUUUUAAAAAGCAGCUUAAGUAGCUUUGAGGCAUUCCUUUUUUCCUCCUCCCCACCAUAUGGAGGCAUUCUUUUUUUCCUCCGCCUGGGUCUGGUGAGGAUGCACCUGUCUUCUGUCAGAAAUUCAAGGAGGUGGAUGACGAUCUUUUCAAAAUUGAUGCAUUUCAUUCCAUGGUUGGAAAUGGAUUAGUUCUCAACUUGGGCAAAGAGAAGAUGUGCGCCAUGUUCCCCUGUCAUGGCAACCAUAACCACAGGUUCCUUGUUUACAUAUUCAUUUUUCAAGUUUCCAAACCGUCGUCCACUGAACAACAACAUCCUACCAAGCGAGCCAAGGGCCCUAAAAUAUGUCCUGAAUCAAUACCAGAGGAUUUCAUAUCCAUCACUUGUCUGCACAAGGGUUUGUACAACUUGGAUGAGUUUGGCUAUGGUUUGCCAUGCACAACUGCUGCUUUCUAUAUGGUUUCAAUAAAUACCGAUUUAGCCAGGAGCUCAUUUUCCAGAAACUGCACUAUCUCUGUUUGUUUCCUCAACUCUUCUAGUUGUUUCUGUGCUUGAGCCAAAGUUGCUGUCACUAACUGUAACUCUGCCUCUUUCUCAGAUAGAACUGCAGAGUUCUCUUUCUCUGCUUCAAUAGCAGCCAGCUUUGAAUGAAGAAUAGCUUCAUUGAGCUCUGAUACAUGCUUUAGAAGCUCAGCUGUCUUGCCUCUUUCCAUGUUGACAGCAGUUUGCAUCAGCUCUGCUUGUGUCAUAGCCUUGAAUUCAGAUUCUCUAGCAUCAGCAAGUUCUGUUUCCACACGAAGUAACUCUUCUUGUGCACUUUUCAACUUGCUUAAAACAUGUGAAAGCUGCUCUCGAACCUUUGCAGUUUCCAACAAUUGAUCAGCCAUCUGCUUCGUCUUGGUUUCAAGUUCAUCUAUCCGAGUUCUAGAUUCUAUGCAUUCAUUUAUGUAUUUAUCUCUCUCAACCUCGGAGCUCUUCAGCAAGGUGGAAAGCUCGUCUGCUGUUUUUCGAUGGUGAUCCAGCUUAAGAAGGGCUUGCAUGUGGGCAGAGUCCUUUGCCUCCAGUUGCACCUUGCAGUUGGCUAAGUCCUUUAGCAGGCCUUCAAGCUCUUGUUCUUUCUCCAACUCUGGCUGGUGAAGGAAAUAGCACACAACGAAAGGAAUAUCAAAACUAUCCAAUUUUACAGUAAAUUCACGGUUUGAGACCUCCAUCACAAGCCCCUCUACAUAAGCAACAGGGGUGCAUACUGAACACGAAUGGUUAAUUAAUAUUCAACAUUUGAUGGCGUUUUCUUUAA